rnacentral:rRNA from 1 species
AUUGAACGCUGGCGGCAUGCCUUACACAUGCAAGUCGAACGGCAGCACGGGAGCUUGCUCCUGGUGGCGAGUGGCGAACGGGUGAGUAAUACAUCGGAACGUACCCUGAAGUGGGGGAUAACGUAGCGAAAGUUACGCUAAUACCGCAUAUUCUGUGAGCAGGAAAGAGGGGGGAUCGCAAGACCUCUUGCUUUAGGAGCGGCCGAUGUCGGAUUAGCUAGUUGGUGAGGUAAAGGCUCACCAAGGCGACGAUCCGUAGCGGGUCUGAGAGGAUGAUCCGCCACACUGGGACUGAGACACGGCCCAGACUCCUACGGGAGGCAGCAGUGGGAAUUUUGGACAAUGGGCGCAAGCCUGAUCCAGCCAUGCCGCGUGAGUGAAGAAGGCCUGGUU